CGGUGAAAUUCCAAUCGAGCCCGGAGAUAGCUGGUUCUCCCCGAAAUAGCUUUAGGGCUAGCCUCAAGGUGAGAGAUACGGAGGUAGAGCACUGAAUGUCCUAGGGGGGAUUGCACCUACCGAAGACUAUCAAACUCCGAAUGCCGUCAUCUUAUACUUGGGAGUCAGACUGUGGGUGAUAAGAUUCAUAGUCGAAAGGGCAACAGCCCAGAUCGUCAGCUAAGGUCCCUAAAUGUAAGUUAAGUGGUAAAGGAUGUGGGAUUGCACAGACAACCAGGAUGUUGGCUUAGAAGCAGCCACUCA
rnacentral:rRNA from 1 species